UACGUAGGGGGCUAGCGUUGUCCGGAAUCAUUGGGCGUAAAGCGCGUGUAGGCGGCCCGGUAAGUCCGCUGUGAAAGUCGGGGGGCUCAACCCUCGGAUGCCGGUGGAUACUGUCGGGCUCGAGUACGGAAGAGGCGAGUGGAAUUCCUGGUGUAGCGGUGAAAUGCGCAGAUAUCAGGAGGAACACCAAUUGCGAAGGCAGCUCGCUGGGACGUUACUGACGCUGAGACGCGAAAGCGUGGGGAGCAAACAGG
rnacentral:rRNA from 1 species